UACGGAGGGGGCUAGCGUUGUUCGGAAUUACUGGGCGUAAAGCGCGCGUAGGCGGCUUUGCAAGUCAGAGGUGAAAGCCUGGAGCUCAACUCCAGAACUGCCUUUGAAACUGCAUCGCUAGAAUCAUGGAGAGGUUAGUGGAAUUCCGAGUGUAGAGGUGAAAUUCGUAGAUAUUCGGAAGAACACCAGUGGCGAAGGCGACUAACUGGACAUGUAUUGACGCUGAGGUGCGAAAGCGUGGGGAGCAAACAGG
rnacentral:rRNA from 1 species